UACGUAGGUGGCAAGCGUUGUCCGGAUUUACUGGGCGUAAAGAGCGCGCAGGCGGUCGUUCAAGUCGAGUGUGAAAGCCCCCCGGCUCAACUGGGGAGGGUCAUUCGAUACUGAUCGACUCGAAGGCAGGAGAGGGAAGUGGAAUUCCCGGUGUAGUGGUGAAAUGCGUAGAUAUCGGGAGGAACACCAGUGGCGAAGGCGACUUCCUGGCCUGUUCUUGACGCUGAGGCGCGAAAGCUAGGGGAGCAAACGGG
rnacentral:rRNA from 1 species